GGCAGCUGGGAGCAGAAAGCAUACGUCAACUGUUUAUGCAUUGUCUUACGUCAGACACGUUUCCGGCUGCGCUGUGGGUUGAGGGACGAGCGUCGCGUAGGAGUGACGCCAAAUUGACAAGUCAGUUGUUUUUAGCUUGGAAUCCGGCUUGAGUAAAAGCACACGCUGAGAGCCCACCAGCCUAAGUGGAUACAGUUGUCCCAGUUACUACUGUUGACUUGCUGCCAUCUAGUGGCCCUGGCAAUGGACUGCAGUUACUACUGUUGACUGGCUGCCAUCCAGUUGCCCCGGCAAUGGACUGCAAUUACUACUGUUGACUUGCUGCUAUCUAGUGGCCCUGGCAAUGGACUGCAAUUACUACUGUUGACUUGCUGCCGUCUAGUGGCCCUGGCAAUGGACUGCAGUUACUACUGUUGACUUGCUGCCAUCCAGUUGCCCCGGCAAUGGACUGCAGUUACUACUGUUGACUUGCUGCCAUCCAGUUGCCCCGGCAAUGGACUGCCAUUACUACUGUUGACUUGCUGCCAUCCAGUUGCCCCGGCAAUGGACUGCAGUUACUACUGUUGACUUGCUGCCAUCCAGUUGCCCCGGCAAUGGACUGCAGUUUCAUGGGAAUCUGUUACACCGUAUAAAGCCAUUGGUCAACUACAAAACAUCCAGAAUGCUGCAGCACGGGUACUGACCAAGACCAGACGGAGAGCACACAUUACACCAGUUUAAGGUCUCUGCACUGGCUGCCUGUGAAUUUUAGAAUUCAUUUGAAGAUUCUUCUAUUGGUUUUUAAAUCAAUCCACGAUUGUGCACCCAAGUACAUGUCAGACAUGCUUUUAAGUUAUGAACCCAGUAGGUCCCUCAGGUCCUCU
rnacentral:lncRNA from 1 species